rnacentral:rRNA from 1 species
AACGAACGCUGGCGGCAGGCUUAACACAUGCAAGUCGAACGCCCCGCAAGGGGAGUGGCAGACGGGUGAGUAACGCGUGGGAAUCUACCUAGUUCUACGGAACAACUGAGGGAAACUUCAGCUAAUACCGUAUAAGCCCUACGGGGGAAAGAUUUAUCGGAAUUAGAUGAGCCCGCGUAAGAUUAGCUAGUUGGUGGGGUAAUGGCCUACCAAGGCGACGAUCUCUAGCUGGUCUGAGAGGAUGAUCAGCCACACUGGGACUGAGACACGGCCCAGACUCCUACGGGAGGCAGCAGUGGGGAAUAUUGGACAAUGGGCGCAAGCCUGAUCCAGCCAUGCCGCGUGAGUGAUGAAGGCCUUAGGGUUGUAAAGCUCUUUCAGUGGGGAAGAUAAUGACGGUACCCACAGAAGAAGCCCCGGCUAACUUCGUGCCAGCCGCCGCAGUAAUAC